GAUGAACGCUAGCGGCAGGCCUAACACAUGCAAGUCGAGGGGCAGCACAGAAACAGCAAUGUUUUGGUGGCGACCGGCGGACGGGUGCGUAACGCGUAUGCAACCUACCUUUAACAGGGGGAUAACGGAGAGAAUUUUCCACUAAUACCCCAUAACAUCGAUCAAGGCAUCUUGAUUGGUUGAAAACUCCGGUGGUUAAAGAUGGGCAUGCGUUGUAUUAGGUAGUUGGUGAGGUAAUGGCUCACCAAGCCUACGAUACAUAGGGGGACUGAGAGGUUAGCCCCCCACACUGGUACUGAGACACGGACCAGACUCCUACGGGAGGCAGCAGUGAGGAAUAUUGGUCAAUGGGGGCAACCCUGAACCAGCCAUGCCGCGUGCAGGAAGACGGCUCUAUGAGUUGUAAACUGCUUUUAAACAGGGAUAAAGCACAGUAUGUAUACUGUGUUGAAGGUACUGUAAGAAUAAGGAUCGGCUAACUCCGUGCCAGCAGCCGCAGUAA
rnacentral:rRNA from 1 species